UACGGGGGGGGCAAGCGUUGUUCGGAAUUACUGGGCGUAAAGGGCUCGUAGGUGGCCAACUAAGUCAGACGUGAAAUCCCUCAGCUUAACUGGGGAACUGCGUCUGAUACUGGAUGGCUUGAGUUUGGGAGAGGGAUGCGGAAUUCCAGGUGUAGCGGUGAAAUGCGUAGAUAUCUGGAGGAAUACCGGUGGCGAAGGCGCAUCCUGGACCGGCAUUGACGCUGAGGAGCGAAAGCCAGGGGAGCAAACGGG
rnacentral:rRNA from 1 species